AGAGUUUGAUCCUGGCUCAGGACGAACGCUGGCGGCGUGCCUAAUACAUGCAAGUCGAGCGAACCAAUGGAAAGCUUGCUUUCUCUGAGGUUAGCGGCGGACGGGUGAGUAACACGUGGGCAACCUGCCCUAUAGACUGGGAUAACUCGCGGAAACGCGAGCUAAUACCGGAUAAUACAUUAAAACUCAUGUUUUAAUGUUGAAAGAUGGUUCUGCUAUCACUAUAGGAUGGGCCCGCGGCGCAUUAGCUAGUUGGUGGGGUAACGGCCUACCAAGGCGACGAUGCGUAGCCGACCUGAGAGGGUGAUCGGCCACACUGGGACUGAGACACGGCCCAGACUCCUACGGGAGGCAGCAGUAGGGAAUCUUCCACAAUGGGCGAAAGCCUGAUGGAGCAACGCCGCGUGAGCGAAGAAGGUCUUCGGAUCGUAAAGCUCUGUUGUAAGGGAAGAACAAGUACAGUAGUAACUGGCUGUACCUUGACGGUACCUUACGAGAAAGCCACGGCUAACUACGUGCCAGCAGCCGCGGUAAUACGUAGGUGGCAAGCGUUGUCCGGAAUUAUUGGGCGUAAAGCGCGCGCAGGCGGUUUCUUAAGUCUGAUGUGAAAGCCCCCGGCUUAACCGGGGAGGGUCAUUGGAAACUGGGAGACUUGAGUGCAGAAGAGGAAAGUGGAAUUCCAAGUGUAGCGGUGAAAUGCGUAGAGAUUUGGAGGAACACCAGUGGCGAAGGCGACUUUCUGGUCUGUUACUGACGCUGAGGCGCGAAAGCGUGGGGAGCAAACAGGAUUAGAUACCCUG
rnacentral:rRNA from 1 species